rnacentral:rRNA from 1 species
GGGGCAACNNCAGGUNAGUGGCGGACGGGUGCGUAACACGUGAGCAACCUACCCUGCAGUGGGGGAUAGCCGGCCCAACGGCCGGGUAAUACCGCGUACGUCGCCGGAGUCGCAUGACUCUGGCGGGAUAGCGGCCGCAAGGUCGCGCUGCAGGAGGGGCUCGCGGCCUAUCAGCUUGUUGGCGAGGUAACGGCUCACCAAGGCGACGACGGGUAGCUGGUCUGAGAGGAUGGCCAGCCACAUUGGGACUGAGAUACGGCCCAGACUCCUACGGGAGGCAGCAGUGGGGAAUAUUGCGCAAUGGCCGCAAGGCUGACGCAGCGACGCCGCGUGUGGGAUGACGGCCUUCGGGUUGUAAACCACUGUCGGGGGGGACGAAUACUCGGCUUCGAACAGGAGACCGAGGGUGACGGUACCUCCAAAGGAAGCACCGGCUAACUCCGUGCCAGCAGCCGCGGUAAUACGGAGGGUGCAAGCGUUGUCCGGAAUCACUGGGCGUAAAGGGCGCGUAGGCGGCUCGCUAAGUCACUUGUGAAAUCCUGGGGCUCAACUCCAGGGCUGCAGGUGAGACUGGCGGGCUAGAGCUCGGUAGAGGCGAGUGGAAUUCCCGGUGUAGCGGUGGAAUGCGUAGAUAUCGGGAAGAACACCGGUGGCGAAGGCGGCUCGCUGGGCCGAUGCUGACGCUGAGGCGCGAAAGCGUGGGGAGCAAACAGGAUUAGAUACCC